rnacentral:misc_RNA from 1 species
AAGGAUCAUUACCGAGUGAGGGCCCUCUGGGUCCAACCUCCCACCCAUGUUUAUCGUACCUUGUUGCUUCGGCGGGCCCGCCGCAAGGCCGCCGGGGGGCUUCUGUCCCCGGGUCCGCGCCCGCCGAAGACAUCUUGAACGCUGUAUGAAGAUUGCAGUCUGAGCGAAAAGCUAAAUUAAUUAAAACUUUCAACAACGGAUCUCUUGGUUCCGGCAUCGAUGAAGAACGCAGCGUAGCCAGCUGCAUCGAUGUGGAAGUAAAAGUCGUAACAAG